UACGGGGGGAGCAAGCGUUGUUCGGAUUUACUGGGCGUAAAGGGCGCAUAGGCGGUCGUGACAAGUCACUUGUGAAAUCUCCGGGCUUAACUCGGAACGGUCAAGUGAUACUGUCGGACUAGAGUACAGAAGGGGCAACUGGAAUUCUCGGUGUAGCGGUGAAAUGCGUAGAUAUCGAGAGGAACACCUGCGGCGAAGGCGGGUUGCUGGGCUGACACUGACGCUGAGGCGCGAAAGCUAGGGGAGCGAACGGG
rnacentral:rRNA from 1 species